UCAUAAUUCUUGGACAUGCUGGCGGGCCAAAGAAUGCUCUCAUUGAGCCAGGUAAUCUGAGGCCCAGGUUGAAUUUGGACCCCUCCUGCUUCAAGGAAGAAGCAGCUCUGGUGUUUUGACCAUACGGAAGCCUGGCAUCCGAAUUGCAGAUGAUUGGACAAUAAAAGUUUUGUAAGAACAUAGUUUGGAAAUUGGGCAAAUGGAACUAACAACUUGGUGUUACUGAAAAAUAAGAACCAGAAUUUACAGGAUUGCUUGAAGAUGACCUGAAUCACUACGCAACAGAAAGUCAUCUGUCUGGUUAUUUUUCAGUAAUUUUUUGUGCCGCUUACUCAUUCUUUCUUGAAGAGGGAAUGACAGUGAGGAAUGUUAAUGCAAAUUUGCAAUUUGAGGAUUAUACUGUACUAACUGUUCAGUUAUCAGAUUACUGUAAGAGAAGCGUUAAUAGAGAUGGUUAGACCAUUCUUAAGUGUUGGAAAGUCGCUAGCAGAAAUUUCAGU